GUGUUCCGACCCGCUAGGCCCCGCGCGGCUCGGAUCCGGCGGCGCUGUUUCGGUCGGGAGUGGGUGGGAGAGAAGCCGGGGCAGGGGAGGAGCCGCCGGAGCUGUCGGAGCCGUGACACCCAGGGCAGCUACACUCAGAAGCCACAAGGAAUGCUAGCGGAGCCCCUCAUCCCUUCCAGCUUCUCUUCCAAGCUGCCCCGUGGGGCUUGAUCCAGGAAGCUACUUCAGAAAGGUUGUGGGAUAGCCUUGGGAGGUUUGUUGGUGGGAAGCGUGUGAACGCGGAGCAGUCUUGGAUAACUUUCUGCUGUUACUAUCUAGCAUAAGCGGGUGGGCAGGGUUGGAGAGAGGACAGGAAUUUUUCCUCCUAGGACCAAACGCCUGGGAUUCAUAAUCUUUCACCCUUUCUCCUCCAGCUAUACCCUUUUUGUACUCUGUGUAUAUACUAUAUUGCAGUAGACAAUCAUUCCAAGGGUACAACAAGGUUUACUACAAUGUGAGGGACUCAGCCAUUGCAAAUUCUCUAGAUGGUGUGAGACCACCCCAAAGCCAAGAAAUGGCUACAGCCGUGGAACCAGAGGACCA
rnacentral:sRNA from 1 species